UUGUUGUUUCUUCCCAGGUGAGCUGAGGUGAUAACUGAACUCUCUUCUUGCACUAGCAAUCCAUCUAUUUUGAUUUCAUGAUCAUGGUUCUCCCGUCAUGCUCUUAUGAUUUUAUACAUGCCAACAAGCAUCCACGCGAUUUGUUCUUUACUUCUGCACAUAUUACCAUGUUUUCUCACAAAAAUACACACGCCGCGGCGCCGCGGCAAUCAUGUUCUCAAGUUUUAAAGCGUAUAAGAUAAGAGCAUGUAUCUUAGUUAUUUUGGCACUGCCAUCCUUUACAUUAUAGGGUGUCUACAUAUGCAAAUUUGCAAGUUAAAUUUACCACACCUUUGAAACCUGCAGUUGUUUACUAUUCUCUUAAAUCUUUAAACUAUGUGCUCCAUUCCUUUAAUUUCAGAACUAGGAAGGUGCGGAUAAUAAGAGUUGUUCACAGAGGCAACCUGCACAUGUGUAAACAGUGGCUAUGGUGGCUCAAAGGGAAGCAGCGGCGGCUCCAUGGAAACACGCAACUUAGUGAUGUACUUUUUGUUUCUAGAUUUUGUUCACUCUCAUUAAAUUUUAAGCAAGAAAAUCCACUACCCUGCAAAAAGUUCUUCCAACAAAUAUUUUUGUGUGUGCAGCUAAGAUCAAUCUUCCUAUUCAUUCAUUGCACGCUGUUAUUCUGCAGGACCGGCGAAGUGCAAGGUCAUGUACAAGGUGGGGGUUGAUUGUCCCAGUUUUCUCUUUUGGUGUCUUGAUUCUGUUUCUUCCUGGUUUGCACAAGAUUCACUUAUGAAAUUGAUUUUCUUGCCAACUUUUCAGGGAUAAGCUGGUCAAUGAAGGAAAUUCUAAAAGAAAGCGACUACAAGCAACAUUUGAAGGUACAGCUUGUAUUAUGUUACUUUAGAAAUUAAUAUCAUGGUCUGUUAUUGAGAAUCACGAGUUUCUUGACAAUGAGACUCAUUACAUUUUCUUUUCAUAAAAAAAUCCUUGGAAGAGAUUGUAAAGUUUAACGAGCAUGUCCCUUUUACAUCUCUUUACAGUGUGUUUUCUUUUGGUUUCACAACAUUUUAAGUUUUAUAUUUUUUACAGGCUGUGUAUAGUGUAGGAGGUAUUGAUGAUGAAAUAUGAAUGUCCCUUGUUCUUGUCUGCUCCUGAUCACAGUAGAAUUGUGUGAUGUGCUCUAGAUCCUUUCUCUUUUUUCAUUAAAUGAUUAUGUGACUGAGGAGAGCAUGUUCUUAAUUAGGUUGCCAUUGUGAAACUUGUUUUCGGUUUUUUUAUUGUAUAAUACAGAGCUUCCAAAUGGUUUAAUCCUAGAUAAAAAUUACCAAUUUUCGGUGUGUAGUGAGCUGGGAGCCGGGGUCAUCCUUCUCACCACCAGUCGAACAUACUACUUCAGCCACCAUGUUGAGCGAUAUAAAAGUGUUCUCUAUUUCAGAGAGCAACAACACGAGAUUGUGCCCCCUCUUGCUCCAGGUGCAUGUUGCUAUAAUUAGUAUCAACAGAUUAAAUCAUGGACCAUGUCUCUGUUUCAUACCACCUCUGUUCAUAAAUAGAUAGCUUCCUAGAGAUUGUGCAGUCCUAAGGCCAUCCACACU
rnacentral:lncRNA from 1 species